UCAAGCUAAUAAGAGCACAGGGUGGAUGCCCAGGCACCAAACGCCGAUGAAAGACGUGGCAAGCUGCGAAAAGUCACGGGGAACCGCAAGCAGGUAUUGAUCCGUGAACGUCUGAAUGGGGAAACCCGGCGGGUUAACAGCCCGUCACUAUUAACUGAAUCAAUAGGUUAAUAGGGGGAACGCGGGGAACUGAAACAUCUCAGUACCCGUAGGAAGAGAAAAUAAAGAAUGAUUUCCUAAGUAGCGGCGAGCGAACGGGAAAGAGGCCAAACCGAAGGGCUUGCUCUUCGGGGUUGUGGAUCAGCGAUAAGGACGGAAGACCUUAGCAGAAGAGGAUUGGAAAGUCCCGCCAGAGAGGGUAAAAGCCCCUUACGCGAAAAGGUCAAACGACGAGCUGACACCAGAGUACCGCAGGACACGAGAAAUCCGGUGGGAAGCCGGGAGGACCACCUCCCAAGCCUAAAUACGAAUUGGUGACCGAUAGCGCAUAGUACCGUGAGGGAAAGGUGAAAAGAACCCCGGGAGGGGAGUGAAAAAGAACCUGAAACCCUGUGUUUACAAGCAGUGAAAGUGCGAGCAAGGCACGAUCACGUACUUUUUGUAGAACGGACCGGCGAGUUACGUUAUGCAGCAAGGUUAAGAACUAAAGGUUCGGAGCCGAAGCGAAAGCGAGUCUGAAUAGGGCGAUAGUUGCAUGACGUAGACCCGAAACCGGGUGACCUAUCCAUGAGCAGGUUGAAGUGGAGGUAAAGCUCCAUGGAGGACCGAACCAGACGUCUGUUGAAAAAGGCGGGGAUGACUUGUGGAUAGGGGAGAAAUUCCAAUCGAACCCGGAGAUAGCUGGUUCUCCUCGAAAUAGCUUUAGGGCUAGCCUCAUGGAUCAUUGGUGGGGGUAGAGCACUGAAUGUGCGCGGGGGCCACAAAGCCUACCAAACGCUAUCAAACUUCGAAUACCAUACAAUGCAGACCAUGGGAGUCAGUCCGCGAGAGAUAAGUUCCGCGGGCAAAAGGGGAACACCCCAGAUCAACCGCUAAGGUCCCCAAGUUCACGUUAAGUGGAGAAGGAUGUGGAAUUGCACAGACAACCAGGAUGUUGGCUCAGAAGCAGCCACACAUUUAAAGAGUGCGUAAUAGCUCACUGGUCGAGUGAUUGUGCGCCGAAGAUGUCCGGGGCUAAACGUGACACCGAAGCGAUGGGUGCAUCUGAAAGGAUGCGCGGUAGAGGAGCAAUGUGCAGAGGCAGAAGCCGUAUCGAGAGGCACGGUGGACACUGCACAAGAGAGAAUGCCGGUAUGAGUAGCGAGAGGCAUGCGAGAAACAUGCCCGUCGAAAGCCCAAGGUUUCCUGGGGAAGGUUCAUCCGCCCAGGGUAAGUCGGGGCCUAAGCCGAGGACGGAAGUCGUAGGCGAUGGACAGCAGGUGUAGAUUCCUGCACUACCGAUGGAAUGAAGCAGUGACACAGAAGGAUAACUCGAGCAGGGUGAUGGUCAACCCUGUGCAAGCAUCAAGGUUGGGUUGUAGUGAAGUACGCAACCCUAUAAGCUGAGGUGUGAUGCGGACCGAAAUUUCAGUAGGGAAGCGAGUGAGUUCACGCUGGCGAGAAAAGCUGCUAGUACAUCCAAAGGUACCCGUACCGGAAACCGACGCAGGUGGGCGAGGAGAGAAUCCUGAGACGAACGGGAGAACCCUUGUUAAGGAACUCGGCAAAAUGACCCCGUAACUUCGGGAUAAGGGGUGCCUGCGAGAGCAGGCCGCAGAGAAUAGUCACAAGCGACUGUUUAGCAAAAACACAGGUAUCUGCGAAAGCGAGAGCUGACGUAUAGGUGCUGACACCUGCCCGGUGCUGGAAGGUUAAGGGAACAUGUUAGAGCAAUCGAAGCAUCGAACCGAAGCCCCAGUAAACGGCGGCCGUAACUAUAACGGUCCUAAGGUAGCGAAAUUCCUUGUCGGGU
rnacentral:rRNA from 1 species